GGGGGUAUAGCUCAGCUGGGAGAGCAGCAGACUGAAGCCAGUUGCUCACAUGACAGGUCUUCUGAAGGUCCCGCGUUCGAUCCGCGGUACCCCCC